UACGAAGGGGGCUAGCGUUGCUCGGAAUCACUGGGCGUAAAGCGCACGUAGGCGGCUUCUUAAGUCAGGGGUGAAAUCCUGGAGCUCAACUCCAGAACUGCCCUUGAUACUGAGGAGCUCGAGUCCGGAAGAGGUGAGUGGAACUGCGAGUGUAGAGGUGAAAUUCGUAGAUAUUCGCAAGAACACCAGUGGCGAAGGCGGCUCACUGGUCCGGUACUGACGCUGAGGUGCGAAAAGCGUGGGGAGCAAACAGGG
rnacentral:rRNA from 1 species